UUGUGCUAGGCGGGGAGUUAGCGGUGCCCUGAACCCGAAAGCCGCUUUAUGCGGGGCUGAAUCCCCUUCAGAGGGUUCGACCCCCGGCGAUUCGGGGAUCUCCCGGCCGGACGCCGCGCAACAGCCGGUCAUGAAUCUCGUCAGGUCCGGAAGGAAGCAGCGAUAAAUGAUGCAGGUUGUGUCGCGGAUCGACCCCGGCCAACCCAAGAUCCUUGUUUUGCCGGAAAGAACUCGAAGCAGGGUGCACAA
rnacentral:SRP_RNA from 1 species